AUAUAUGGCAGGGGAGAUACUGUGAUCACGAAGGUGGUUUUCCCAGGGCAAGGCUCAUCCAUUGCACUCUGGAUGUGCUGACUCCUGCGAUUUCCCCAACUGUGGGAAACCCGACUGCACAAUUUGUGGUAGUGGGGGACUGCGUUCACGCUCUCCCCUG
rnacentral:snRNA from 1 species